UUAACAAUUAGUUUUCGGUUAGAGCACGUUGAGGCCCCUCGAUUGCAGCGAAGUGUUAGUAGGUUAAAGGCCAUCUACGGUUGAGGUCACAUGCUGUUAUCAACAUCUUCAAGUUUUUCUCUUGGCCAAAGUACUUGUUCAGGACUCGCUGGAAACCGUGUUUUUUUAAACAGAAGAGUGUUUUGUAGAGAACAGUGUUUCAAAAGUAAAUAGUUUGUGGUUGUAGUAGUUUAUAAAAAAAUGUUCUCCUUCUCUUGUACCUUAGUGUAUCAACCAGCGAGAGUAUAGUACCCAAUUAUUAACUCCGUUCUUCUGUUGCAAACUCGUUCUAUUCAGUAAGAAGUAGGCAAGUGGAAGUGAAAGUCGGAUCUUUGGAUCAACUUGAAAAGCUUCGGCUCAGUGAACGUUUAUUCAAAUCCCUUUCUGCAGUGAUCCAACAAUAUUUAUUCAACAAUUCUCCUGAUAUCAAUUCAAAUAUUAAAUUAUGUCCCAGUUUUAUUGUUGAAAACUUGAAAAGUUUGUUAUGAAGUGAUGUGAACCAUGUCAUUAGGUGUGAUUAACACGGUGUCAGUUAAAAUUCCAGCAUGUUGUGAACAACGGAUGGACAAUUCUGCUUUCGAAAGUGACGAGAAACCGAGACCAGGCGUAGAAAUGCAAGAGCUGAAGGAUGUGGUUGUCAAGGACACCAACGGCAAAGCAGCAGAGCACAUGUGUAAGGCAGAUUUGUGCCAACAAGUGCACAAAGAGUACAUGGACAGGCAACAGAGUAAUGCAAAUCCCCAGGACAAUUUGAAAAUGAUUUUCCUUCUUGGCACACUAGGGUUGUUUAUUACAUGGCUCUUACUAUAUAUAUUAUUGAAUAAACUCGAAAUAUUGUGAUUAACGAUGAAGUGUAGGGGACGGACAUCUCUUCACAAGCAUUCACCACAAAGUGAGAAUAGUUAUGUGGCGAUAUCUGAAAAAAUGAGUAAAGGGUGACAACUGAAACAUGCAAGUUAUACCAAUCAGUAACAUUAAUCGACUCUGACAAGGAUGGAAACUAAUGAAAGACUGCUGUGAAAAAGUAAAAAAUGCCUAAUGGUUAUACAAGAUUCAGUUAUUUAUAUGCAUAGUUUAUAUGAAAAGUUAUACAAAUUUGUAUACUCCCUAUCUUUACAAUACUAGUAUGCACCGUAUAACUAACUAUCAAUCAAUAUUGGCAAGAUAAUUUGAAGUGAAGAACAGGAACCAAAACUAUAUCUCUUGCAAAUUUUUAUUUCAACAAAACGUUAAACUCAAGUAUUAAAUAUGAUACGUUUGUACCAAAUUUACUACUUAUUCAAAGUAUUAAGGAUGAUGCCGCAGUUGGGAACUGUAUUUAAAUAAUACUUUAGAGUGAUUCCAGAAUAUUCAUGAUAAUACAUGAAAAAACUAUUAUCAUCAUGGAUAAGCCCAAAAUACCUACUACUUCCAGCAUUUAUUUUUAUAUACUAUUGAAAUAAGACUGUGUAAUUAUGUUUGAAGAAAGAAGGCUGUUACAAGAAAAUAAAAUUUGUAAAUUUUUAAAAAUUGUUUAUGUUUAAUUGUCUAACGACGCACCUCUCUACUGCUACGUGCUGAUGUACUCAAAAUAUCGGCUUAUUCAGUGGAACGGGAAUAUUUUAAUAAUAAUGGCCCAAUUGUCCUAAUAAUAAUUUUGACAAUUGAGUAAUUAAUAUUUCAUUUCAUUUAAAAAAUAUAUAUCAUGACCAGAGAUAAGGGAAGAUCUGGGAGAUUACUGAGUUCUCUCUGAUAUGAUACAUCUGGUAUUUUGAAUCAAUAUUUCAGUAUACAGUACUUCAAUUGAGCAAUAGAAUUUCCAAUAUAUAUAUAUUUUGAACCUUUUCAAUUUUGGAAUGUUUAAUCAAUAAUUCAAUGCAUAUUUCAAUUCAGAAAUAUCUCAUUCAACUUGGAAUAUCUAACAGGAUCUCCAUAAAUAUGAUUUUAUUGGGUAAUUACAAUGAAGAGCGCUCAAUUCGAAUCUAUAGAAACCUGUCUGAAGCUUUGAAAUAAAAGGAAAAAUUUGGUUUAUGUGUUAUCUGCUUUUUCAAGGUUGCAUUACUGGUGAGAAUUACAGUCUACUUGGUAGAUAGCGUCAUUAUAUUCAUAUUUACUGUGAGAAAACUCAUGAGAAUCACUCAUUGUAUUUUUACUGGAAUUUCACCUUGUCUAUAAAAAAAUAAAAUUCUCAAGAAUGUGGAACAAUAUUUAUUAUUAUUAUCGCGUCACUCUUUCCAGACUAUCUAUCUGAAGUGGCUGUACUAUAAAAGAAUUUAAUAAAAACAGUUUAGAUUUGCUACUUUAUUGGUGAGUUGGAAGAUAAAGUAAAAGUGAGAAGUUUCCGAUAGUAGAACACUUAUCUAUGACAAGCACAUUCGGUUGAAGGUUAUUGUGAUUUCCGCGAAAUAUUGCUUCAAAGUGACAGACAACUUCACAUAGGUGGUUAAAUUGGAUUUUUAAUUAUUCUCGUAUCAGUAGUGGAUAUUAAUUGAUAGUGGAAGGUAGUUGUGUAAACAGUUGUAGACGUAUAAUACUGGAACAAUGUCGCCGAAAAAUAUUGAAAAUCAGGAUGCAAUACAGGCUGAUUGGACUCCUAAAGAUCUGCCGGUUCAAGCAGCAUUGCCGGCGAACAGUCCAGCAGCUGAGCAGAAGCAGAAGAAUGGUCCGAAAACGGCUCUGGUCAGAUGGGACACUGGACGUAGCUAUCUCCUGCUUGCAUUCGUCAUAUGCCAGGUUGUAUGGGCAGCCGUCUACUUUCCACUACAAACGUUGACUGAUAAGUUUUAGAAGCAAACAACAUUAUAAUGUAGACCACAAACUCAACAAAUGGCAAUCCUCCAAGUAAAACAUGUUUUUCAACCGA